rnacentral:rRNA from 1 species
UACGUAGGUGGCAAGCGUUGUCCGGAUUUAUUGGGUUUAAAGGGUGCGUAGGCGGCUUUGUAAGUCAGUGGUGAAAUAUGGCAGCUCAACUGUCAAGGUGCCAUUGAUACUGCGGAGCUUGAGUACAGAUGAGGUAGGCGGAAUUGACGGUGUAGCGGUGAAAUGCGUAGAGAUCAGGAAGAACACCGGUGGCGAAGGCGCUCUGCUAGGCCGCAACUGACACUGAGGGACGAAAGCUAGGGGAGCGAAUGGG